rnacentral:misc_RNA from 1 species
UGUUUUGCAUUACAAGCACACAUUGUUAUUGAACUGUGAGACAAUAAUUACAAAGGGAACUCAAAGGUCUGCUAGAGUUAGUCCAAGGCAUUAUGCAUUUAAAUUUGGGGCACCUAGAGCUGCAGCGGUAAGAAAUUACACUUGAACAUUGUAACAACAGAAAGCUUUUUACAAUUAGGACAAGGGAUCUAUAAAUUUGGGAAAUACUGGUGAUAGUACUUGCCUUUUGAUUGUUGGAAACCUACCAGAAGCUGACAUACAUGACUAAGCUAUAAAUAUGUUUGCUAGUUUGAAAUAUUUAAUUGUUCUGAAGAUGCAUAACGAAAGAUUCCAUGUCUCUGAACAGAGCAAAUGCAGGUUAAAUGGAAAAUUCAGAAUAUUUUGGUAUGAAUUUACCAUAGUCAGACUAUUUUACCAAUGGGGGUCUUAGGUGGUGGCUUGAAGAAAGGAUGAUGGGGCUCUUUUAGAAUAUGAGAGCAGAAAAAAGGAAGGGGAAAUAGAGUAUAUACAGGGUUUUUCUUUCAUCUCUUUCUCAAAGGGCUUUAA